GUACAAAGAUGAGAGGGGAGAUGCUAUGCUCAUGAAGGUGGUUUUCCCAGGGUUAGGGUCAUCCAUUGCACUUCAAGAAUGCUGACUCCUGCGAUUUCCCCAAAUGCAAGAAACUCGAUGGCAUAAUUUGUGAUGUAUAUAUGUACACACACAUAUAUAUG